rnacentral:rRNA from 1 species
UCGAGCGAACAGACGAGGAGCUUGCUCCUCUGACGUUAGCGGCGGACGGGUGAGUAACACGUGGAUAACCUACCUAUAAGACUGGGAUAACUUCGGGAAACCGGAGCUAAUACCGGAUAAUAUAUUGAACCGCAUGGUUCAAUAGUGAAAGACGGUUUUGCUGUCACUUAUAGAUGGAUCCGCGCCGCAUUAGCUAGUUGGUAAGGUAACGGCUUACCAAGGCAACGAUGCGUAGCCGACCUGAGAGGGUGAUCGGCCACACUGGAACUGAGACACGGUCCAGACUCCUACGGGAGGCAGCAGUAGGGAAUCUUCCGCAAUGGGCGAAAGCCUGACGGAGCAACGCCGCGUGAGUGAUGAAGGUCUUCGGAUCGUAAAACUCUGUUAUUAGGGAAGAACAAAUGUGUAAGUAACUAUGCACGUCUUGACGGUACCUAAUCAGAAAGCCACGGCUAACUACGUGCCAGCAGCCGCGGUAAUACGUAGGUGGCAAGCGUUAUCCGGAAUUAUUGGGCGUAAAGCGCGCGUAGGCGGUUUUUUAAGUCUGAUGUGAAAGCCCACGGCUCAACCGUGGAGGGUCAUUGGAAACUGGAAAACUUGAGUGCAGAAGAGGAAAGUGGAAUUCCAUGUGUAGCGGUGAAAUGCGCAGAGAUAUGGAGGAACACCAGUGGCGAAGGCGACUUUCUGGUCUGUAACUGACGCUGAUGUGCGAAAGCGUGGGGA